GACAUUCAUUGUUCGUAAUCACGCAGCAUAACUGUUCGAUUAUCUCUGGCCCUUAAUUAAUGUAGAAGUUAUAAUAUUUUGAAGUUUUUUUAUUGCGUGCUAUUAUUGUUAACUCUCGAGUUUCUUAGCCUUUCUUUCGCUCGGUUUAUCCGCCAUUUUGGAGGUACUGGCUUCUCCCAACCGGGUAGUAUAAACACCGCGAAAUGUGAAUUUUUAUAAUUGUAGUUGUGUGUGCAAUGGUAAAUGUACAGUUAUAACUUUGUGAAGUCGCCUUUCACAUUGUUUUGAUUGUGUAUAUAUAUCAGUUUCCCCAAAAUGGGCUAUUACAUUUAAAAACCAUUCCCCCCUGUGUAAUUGAUCCCUCUGGAAGAGACUCAACCCCCCCCCCUCUGGAAGUACAUUUUUGAAUUUUCACCCCUCUGGAAAUAUUGACUAAUUCACCCCCUUGAAACCGUCGACAGGGGGUUUGGGUAUGUAAUAGCCCAAUGGCGGAUAUUGGCACGCGUGAGGAAGGCUAUAAUUAACCCAAACAGCACUAUAACAAUAUUGUUAUCAUGUUUCCAAAACUGUCCAAAGAGUGCAGCACAACAUUGUCAAUGAUAGCAAUCAUGCAAGUUAAAUCUCGAGUAUUAUUUCAUCAAAUUGACCGCUACGAGUAGAAGUUCCGUUGUUGGGAAGCGGAGCAGUGCUAAAUGUCGCUGAGACCCCCUCGAGUGUGACUGAAGAUAAUCCAUUUUUACCAUAACACGAACUUGGCCCAUUUAUUGUUGCAGAAAGAGUCACAACUUCAUUUCGCUUCAGUAUAACGGGUUUCUUUAACAUUACAUCAAAACCAGGAACGCCGUCUUCAUUGCAUUCACCGGUAUACGUGCCGGUCACUUUCGCUUUUUUGACUUGAAAUGUGACAUGAUAUAUACCCUCUGGCUGCCCAAACAAACGUACACCAAGCAAGUUCAUAUCUUUUUUCGCAGAAAAACAGAGGCGAUCUGGCGUGUUGUCAUAUUCCCACGGCGAUCUGUUAAGUUUGUCUAUUAUUUCAGGAAAUCUGGAAAACCGGACGAUAUUUCCUACGUUCCUGUUGGGUAGCUUCCAUUUUAACGCAGGCGAAUCUAUUCCAAGGAAUUUCUCGUAAAUGGGAAUUAUCUCUUCCGCAGUUAGCAGACCAGAUUUCGAAACAUGUUCGGCAAACUGUUUAUGGCUCAUGGUAAAAAAUCGGAACCCAUAGAUCGCCUUGCCAAUGAUUGACCUUCGGUUCUCUGCUGUUGCUUCUAAAUUCUUAUACGAGCAUUGGAAAUCAAUCCAUUUUAAAACAGCCUGAAACAGUUCUACUUCUGGGAUAAACAGAUUGUCUCGCAUCAGUAAUUUCGCCAAGGUCGUUUGACUGAUGUUAUUGAAACUAUCAGAGGCUACCACUUUGCGUGUGUGAGACUCUAUAAAUUUCCAACAUUCUUUCUCUAAUUCUUUUUCUUCAAAACCAGUCGCUUGCUGUAAAACGUCCAGUGCAUUUUCAACGUUUAAAUUUUCGGACAGGAAAUUAGUGCAUUUCUCACCGAGCGAAGGCAAGAUGUAUUUCUUUGCCAAAUACAUAAUAGCAACAACAUUGUCUCCUGUCAAUGUACAUUCCUCCGUGUAAAGAAAUCUCAAAAACUGCUCUAAACUUUCCUCGUUUGUAUCAGACAAAUGAACAAUCGAAUCUUUCACAGCUAAGCCGCCAUAAAACAUGGCAUGAAAUACGGCGCUACUUGUGGCCAAGACAUAUUUAUGUGCAUAGAAUGUAUUGUCUGAACCUUCGCAAGUAAAGCUGAUAUCACUCAUGUCUGGAUUGUUGAACAUAUGUCGGUUUCUUUCUAAGAUGGUGUUCUUUGUCGACUGCCAGUCCACAUUCGAUUGAACUGAGGCCAUUUUGAAGAAUUAUAGCUGUAGUAUACUGUCGACAAAAAAGGAUUUUUAAAUACUUCAAUGCAGAACUGAAAUUGUGCCAUGCAAGACAAUGGCGGAAUUAGAAUAAUUAAACGCGAAGCGAAAUUUGAUAUGACCACAGUUUCGCACGU